AACCGUAACACAGGUGCUGCAUGGCUGUCGUCAGCUCGUGUCGUGAGAUGUUGGGUUAAGUCCCGCAACGAGCGCAACCCUUGUCAUUAGUUGCUACAUUUAGUUGGGCACUCUAAUGAGACUGCCGGUGACAAACCGGAGGAAGUGGGGAUGACGUCAAGUCCUCAUGGCCCUUAUAGGUAGGGCUACACACGUCAUACAAUGGAUGGUACAAAGGGUCGCCAACCCGCGAGGGGGAGCCAAUCCCAUAAAACCAUUCGUAGUCCGGAUCGCAGUCUGCAACUCGACUGCGUGAAGUCGGAGUCGCUAGUAAUCGUGGAUCAGAAUGUCACGGUGAAUACGUUCCCGGGUCUU
rnacentral:rRNA from 1 species